AAAGACAUUAAAUCUCUCAAGAUCUGAUUAAAAGAUCUGAUUUACUUAUUACUAACCAGAUUUACUUUAUUUCUGUCACACAUAUAAAUAAGUUCUUAUUGAGAAUUAACAGAGGUUUAGAUGUUGGUGUUUUAUUGGUCAAAAUUAUGCCACCAUCAUGGUGGUCAGGGCUUGCUUUAGUUGGGCUCUUGACCUUUUCAUGUCUUUAAAACAUUUUGUGUUUGAGCAAUUGCAAUAGUGUUUCACAAGAAACACUUAUGCAUUGCUGAAUCAACAGACUGAAGGAGCAGAUCAGCUUGAAAUUUACUGAAAGCCAUUUCAAAUAAAUGUAACAGGGUGGUAUUAGAAAAUAAACCAAAAAAAGAUGUACUUCCCCUUUAAGAGAGCGGCAGCUGAUGAGGACGCGCGAAGUGCGCGAUAUUGAGACAGACGGCUGAGUAGUGCAUGAGACCAAUCUAAUCUUUUAUCAUCCUGGAGAAAAUCCAUGAUUUGUGGUUCGAGGUGAUCAAAGAUUGCGUGCAAUUGCACGUGAGGGGUGUUACGAGUUCUCUGUAAAACAGAAUUCGGUAAGUGUUCAGUGUGAUGUUCAUGUGCAUAAUGUGUAUGAAUGAUGUGCAUAAGAUCAUGAGCAUGUUAUAUUUGAUUUUUCUAUAUUGGUAUUUCAAUGUAUGUGAUGAAAAUGCUGACGGUGGGUUUUGUGGUUGUGUAGGGUGCCACUACCGUGUUGGUAUAGCUCUAAAGUAUAUUGUUUCACCCUAGAUGUGUGCCCUAACAUUUGUAAUUUAAGGAAAUUAGUAAAAAUUGACACUUUAUUUUAGUUUGCUAAAGUUUCGUUUUAAUAUUCUUGUGGAAUCCGAGUUUGGAGAUUAUACGCUGUUACAGAUAUUAUAUGGUUAUAGUGACCCCGUGUGGUGAAUUUUGAGUAUUACUAUUUUUGAUGUUAGUAAAGUGAUACUGAAUGAUCACCUGUUAUUUGUUAAACUAUUCAUUUAAUACUGUUUAAGACCACAACAAACAAACAAAAAAACUCCAAACCACUAAUUGAGUUGAACACAAUAAAUCACUGAAAUAUGAACAUGA